CUCAAUCUUGAUGCUACAUGAAUUGGCAGUACAUGAACGCUACAUUACCACAUAUAUAAUUGAAAAUUUCGAGAUGCUUUGUCUCUUCAGAAUGGGAUAUGAGGCAAAAAUUGUUGGUUGUAGUUGUAGAUAUGAGACAUGGAUGGAAAUCAAUGUUUUUGGUUCACAAGUCAAAGAAGAGCAGAUGGGGUGAUUGAAGAAUCCAUGAGUUAUAUGAUGAAUGAACAUAGACUAAUAUUUUCUCUAUGUUAUCAAUCUCAAUUGUACACAAAAAUUUCUUUUGCCAAUCUUCUGAAUUGAGUAACUUUUGUAUAGGCUGUUGAAAAGGGUCGACAUCCAACACCAAGUGAGAUGCAUUUGCACGUCCAUACACAUGGUCAUGAUGGAACAUCUUUUGUUGGUGAGAAAUCCCGAAUCGUACAUGAAAAAUAUCAGGAAAUAUUACAACAAAAAACAUUGACUCAGUCUGAUGUUGAUCAGUGCCAAGCAUAUUAUCAAGCCGCGGGAGGAGAAAAGAAAAGAAGAGUAUAUAUUCUUGGAUCUCAAGCAAAAUGCUAGUAUGGGCAGAAUCUCCGUGAUUCUUUUGGAUUCGAUGCUACAUCUUCAGGAGCACCUCCGAAUGCUCAAUCAACACCAACAGGAAAUCUGGAUGAGUUUGUGAUGCGUUUGAUUCCUGUAUUAACAGAGCAUAUAGUUCCUAUGAUCGUUAAGCGGGUACGAGGAUUAUUUUCUUCGCCCUCGCAUCAGCCAAAUACUGAUCUUACCAACCACCCAUCAGUUGUGACACCUACAGUUCCUACCUCUCCUACUGCUGCUAACUUUGAUGAGGUUCAUGCAUUGGGUUCUGAUGAUUAAAGAAUGGAAUUCCACUACCCCUAGUAAAGUAACCCGAACCUGGAACUAAUGGAUGUUGUUGAUAUGCCAUAACCCACUAC